rnacentral:tRNA from 7 species
GCCGGGAUGGUGGAAUUGGUAGACGCAGCGGACUCAAAAUCCGCCGAGGGCAACCUCUUGCGAGUUCAAGUCUCGCUCCCGGUACCA